ACAGGCCACGGACUAAGCUAAUAAUGUUCUUACAAAAAACCUUAUAAACUAAUAUUUAGCUUUUACUUUUCUAGUGUUGUGUUAAACGUUAAUAAAAGUUCUGUAUUAAAGUGUGACAUGCCGUGUCGAUUGUUAAUCAAAAAUCAAUUCCAUUUUGUCCAGGUAAUUUUCCCUUUGGCUGUCUUCCAAUCUAUCUCACGAACUUCCAGUCGAAUAAAUCAGCUAUACACAACGAAUACCAUUGCUUGAAAGAAUUUAAUGAUUGUUUAUGGCGAUUACUACGAUGCUUUUCUUCCCCUUCUGCGUAACACAUCAUAGCUUGUGUUUCAGGAUUUGAUCCAAAGAAUGUAGAAAAAUCUUCCUGUGGUAUCAGAGGGAAGUAUAACUUUAACCUGAAGAAAAUGUGUGGAGCUGUUGGGGUUCCAAUUUGUGAUCGGCCUGAAAAGUAUAUUAGUUGGGAUGGAAUUUCAUCUUACACAAGAGGCAUACAAAGAUAUUGCUAAAUGGCUCAUCCGGCACAUUAGGUAGGAUUCAUAGCUUAUCAGCACUUAAAAGCACUACCAAACAUACUGUUAGUCACAAAAUUAACAUUACAUUUUCUGAUGUGUAUUACAGCGAAGAUUCAAAAUUGGAGUUAGUUUUAGAUGGAAAAA